UAUAAAUUAUUAAAUUAAUUAUGCGAAGACCAUUUAAAAAUAGAGAAGCUUUUAGAAAAAUUAAAGAAUCUUUAAUUAGUAAUUAUUCAGAAUAUAUAAGUCUAAAUAAAACAAAAGAAAACCCACAAAGAUUAGCCUACUUAAUUACACUAAUAUCUAGUAUUGAAUCAAAACUAAUAAUCCAUUUAAAAUCUAGAAGAAUGAAACACAUACCACCUAAUUAUGAUAAAAUUAGAUUUAGAUAUCCACCAAGAUAUUAUAAAUAUAAUUUAAAAUGAAUAAAGUACAACAAUACAAAG
rnacentral:lncRNA from 1 species